GGAAAAGAAACCAACAGGGAUUGCCCUAGUAACGGCGAGUGAAGCGGCAACAGCUCAAAUUUGAAAUCUGGCCCUAGUGGUCCGAGUUGUAAUUUGUAGAGGAUGCUUUUGGUGAGGUGCCUUCCGAGUUCCCUGGAACGGGACGCCGGAGAGGGUGAGAGCCCCGUACGGUUGGACGCCGAGCCUCUAUAUAGCUCCUUCGACGAGUCGAGUAGUUUGGGAAUGCUGCUCUAAAUGGGAGGUAAAUUUCUUCUAAAGCUAAAUACCGGCCAGAGACCGAUAGCGCACAAGUAGAGUGAUCGAAAGAUGAAAAGCACUUUGAAAAGAGGGUUAAAUAGCACGUGAAAUUGUUGAAAGGGAAGCGUUUGCGACCAGACUUUUUCCAGGCGGAUCAUCCGGUGUUUUCACCGGUGCACUUCGCCUGGUUUAGGCCAGCAUCGGUUUCCUUAGGGGGAUAAAGGCUUGGGGAACGUAGCUCCUUCGGGAGUGUUAUAGCCCCUUGCGUAAUACCCCUCGGGGGACCGAGGAACGCGCUUCGGCAAGGAUGCUGGCGUAAUGGUCGUCAACGACCCGUCUUGAAACACGGACCAAGGAGUCGAACAUUUGUGCGAGUGUUUGGGUGUCAAACCCUCACGCGUAAUGAAAGUGAACGGAGGUGAGAGCCCUUACGGGUGCAUCAUCGACCGAUCCUGAUGUCUUCGGAUGGAUUUGAGUAAGAGCAUAACUGUUCGGACCCGAAAGAUGGUGAACUAUGCGUGGAUAGGGUGAAGCCAGAGGAAACUCUGGUGGAGGCUCGCAGCGGUUCUGACGUGCAAAUCGAUCGUCAAAUCUGCGCAUGGGGGCGAAAGACUUAUCGAACCAU
rnacentral:rRNA from 1 species